rnacentral:rRNA from 1 species
UGGGGAAUAUUGCACAAUGGGCGCAAGCCUGAUGCAGCCAUGCCGCGUGUGUGAAGAAGGCCUUCGGGUUGUAAAGCACUUUCAGCGAGGAGGAAGGUGGUGGACUUAAUACGUUCAUCAAUUGACGUUACUCGCAGAAGAAGCACCGGCUAACUCCGUGCCAGCAGCCGCGGUAAUACGGAGGGUGCAAGCGUUAAUCGGAAUUACUGGGCGUAAAGCGCACGCAGGCGGUUUGUUAAGUCAGAUGUGAAAUCCCCGGGCUCAACCUGGGAACUGCAUUUGAAACUGGCAAGCUAGAGUCUCGUAGAGGGGGGUAGAAUUUCAGGUGUAGCGGUGAAAUGCGUAGAGAUCUGGAGGAAUACCGGUGGCGAAGGCGGCCCCCUGGACGAAGACUGACGCUCAGGUGCGAAAGCGUGGGGAGCAAAACAGGAUUAGAUACCCUGGUAGUCCACGCUGUAAAACGAUGUCGAUUUUGGAGGUUGUGCCCUUGAGGCGUGGCUUCCGGAGCUAACGCGUUAAAUCGACCGCCUGGGGAGUACGGCCGCAAGGUUAAAACUU